CAGUCGCCGCGGGAAUACGAAGGGUGCAAGCGUUAAUCGGAAUUACUGGGCGUAAAGCGUGCGUAGGCGGUUUGUUAAGUCUGCUGUGAAAUCCCCGGGCCCAACCUGGGAAUGGCAGUGGAUACUGGCAAGCUAGAGUGUGUCAGAGGAUGGUGGAAUUCCCGGUGUAGCGGUGAAAUGCGUAGAGAUCUGGAGGAAUACCGAUGGCGAAGGCAGCCAUCUGGCCUAAUACUGACGCUGAGGUACGAAAGCAUGGGGAGCAAACAGGAUUAGAUACCCCGGUAGUCCCUGUCUCUUAUAC
rnacentral:rRNA from 1 species